UAAGCGUCUUCAUUUAUCAAUUUUUACCUUGGCACUCUAUAAAAGUGACAUUAAAAUAACACCUUUAUAUAUGGCUCAAAAAUUUCCCAUUCUUACCCACGACCUCAUAGUGCCAAACAUUCCCUCAAUUUUCGCAAAACCCCGACAAACCCUAGGAGCCCAGUUAACCGCAAUCAACAUCGAUCAAUGACUCCAGAUGAGGCUCUUGACAUUGGAGAUCUAGCUAGACGGUGUGUUUCCAAGCCUUAGUGUGAGAUCUUAAGUAUUAAAAACUGGAGAUCAUUUUUGAAUCUCCAUUUUGUGACUCUCAUAACAGAGAAUAAGCACUGAAACUCCAUUCUUCUCUUACAAAUUCCACCAACGAGCGACAAAUCAGGAUUCUAUUUUAGUUGAAAAGGAGGUUAGCAUCAGCAAGAGCAUUUUAGCUUGUCCUAUUUGUUAUCAACCAUUCACAUGGAAUGGUAAUCUAGGUUUAUCAAUAGAAUCUAUGUGAGGGUCUAGUUUCCACUAUAGUUCUUGUAAGAAGGCAUGCUUUGGUAAUGAAACACAUCUUGACUUGACAAUAGCCAGUGGGGCCAAGGAGUAUGAUGAAUCCAUGCCAGUUGCAACAGAGAUAUUUAGGUUGAGCAUCUAGAAUGUGACUUGUAACCAUCUUUAUACAUUUUGAAGAAAGAUGAUGUAGAACUAGAUGCAGCAAAAGACUAUGAACAACUCAAAGUUGAAAAAGAAGUUGUGUGCUGGUAUGGACAAAUAUUAUUGAAAGAUAGCAUUUUCUUCCUCAAUGACAGAGCUGUUAGCAUCCUAAAGUUUCCAUUUAAAAAAUUCGUGGACAAAAUUGAAGAAUCCAUUGAAAAGGCAAUACAAAAUUGUGGACAAACCAAAUAGAGAACCAGGUUCAACUGUAAUCUCUGUAUCUCUGGUCAGCAAUUACACUACUUCUGAAGGCACAACAACCGAUCAAGAAGUUGAUUAUGAGGUAAGCAAUGAGAAAGUUAAUGACGGUGGUUAUCUUCAUCCAGUCAUUCCUUAUCCUCGCAAGAAACCCCGCUUUGCAUGAAUCGCAAUCAUAGCACAUCACAUUGGGUUCAUUUUUCCAUGUCCGACAAUCAUUGAAUUCAGAAUUAUGCAUGCUUGUUCUCACUACCGGCCAAAAGGUGCUGUUCAUUAAGUCAUAACCGCAAUAGGAAGGGGGACGGCAGCAACCCACCUGUAAAACAUAUGAUUAUAGUACAUUAGAAUUAUGUUAGUAAACCUAGUAUUCUACUUGAAUAAUCUAUGCAUCAAUUUGCAUUCUAUAUGAACUAUAAAAAUGGAGGGUGAUCCAACUCAGAAAGGCAUUCGCAAUA